AUGAUGUCUAGCAACGUGGGCACCGGAGAGGAGCCAAGCUGCAGGUGGACAGAGGGUGGGGACGCAGUGAAGCACCCACUGUCACCCCCCUGGCCUGAAAGCCCUAGCCACUGGAUCUCUGGUGAACUCCUUCUCAAGCCAUGGAAGGAAACUGCUGCUUUAUGGAUGCAGAAAUUGAGACCCAGAGAGGCGGGCGUCGCCCCUGGGAUGGAGCAGGGUGAGCAAGACAGGCAGGUGCCUCUGGCCCUGGGCUGGGGCGGGAUGGCUGAGCCACGGCGACCCCAGAUCUUGAGGUGGAGGAGGGAAGAGCAUCAUCCUCGAGCACUUCCGGGUUCUACUUCGUCCCAGGCCCAAUAUCCGGUUCCUCUCUGCCACCUGGGGACCCAAGUCCCGUCACCACCUCCACUCCUCCCAUGGAGAAGGUGAAGCUGCCUCAGGACACACAGUAGGAAGUGGCAGAGCUGGGAUUUGAACCCCAGCUGUCUGUCUGUAGCCCACACUAGAUCCAGGUACCAAAUAAAGAGUGGUGAGCCUCCGGUUUCCAUGGCUCCUGCGUGCUGUGAGCCCAGGGACAGAGCUGUGAAGGGCCCAUGUGGCCACGCCCUGCCCUUCCUCUGCUCAGUUCAUCUGGGGCUGCGGAAUCACGAGGCCCAUGCUGGACCACUUUCCGUGGGUUAUGGAUUCCUGCCCCGCCGGAGCCCUGGUUUCUCUCACUGCCUGUUUCCUGGUGGGCUGUAGCAGGUGUGCCAAGAAACCUCCUCCGCUGGGCAGGCUUCCUGGGUGGGCGUGGGUUGGCUGCGCCUCCUUGUUAUGUUGGGUGUUGGGUGUCAGCAUGUGCCCGACCUACCAUUCGAAUUCAUGGGAACCGGAAGGUUGGCGGUUACCGAGGCUCGGGGGUAAUGUGUCUUUGAGGGGGCGUUCUACAAGGGAUUGUGGGGUGCUGGGCAUGGUGGCACAGGUUUAUAUAAAUGCCAGCACUCUGGGAGGCUGAGGCGGGAGGCUCACAAGCCCCGCCUGGGUAAUUUAAGCAAUUAUUAGUGAGACUCUAGCUCAAAAUACAAAAUAAAAAGGGCUGGGGAUGUAGCUCAGCGAAGGAGCUGGGUUCAUCCCCAGUAACCCUACCACCACACACAAAAAAAUCGAUUAUGGUGAUGGUUGUAGAACUCUGUGAAUAUAUUAAGGCCCA
rnacentral:lncRNA from 1 species